CGCCGCUCGGAGGCUUGCAGGGCGGCGAUGGAGGGCUGGCAGGAGAGCUUGGCCUCCUCUGCCGGAUUUGGGGAGAGAGCCGUCUGGCUUGCUUCGUGCCCUCCCAUGGCUCGAGUCACGGCUCGUGGUGAGGACACGCAGGUUUCAUGUUUCCGGAAGUUUGGUCUCUUGGUUUGAUCCGCAGGCCCAGCGUGUUGGAGCUUGUGCUAGCUGCUUCUCCGGUGGAAGAGGUAUGGGGGGAGUACAUGAGGAAAGGCUAUUGAUCAAAUGGGAUUCAGAGUUGAGUUUCCUCAAACCUGGACUGCUUCAUGAAAUUUAUAAAGGUCCAUUCCUACAUCCUUAUGAGUAAGCAGUCAGUUCACUUCUUCUCUCUCCUCACAAAGCUGCAAUUACUUUUCUGCUUUGUCCAUAUCUGUUCGGGUAUUGUUAGGUUCACCACAAUUUUCCGUGACUAUGCAACUCGCAUGCCUCACUUAGAUAAAACUGAUUUUUCUUGCGAGGCUGUGUAGAUCACCAGAUCGGAAAGCAUCUUGCCAGUGAUGGCGCCUGCCAACGCAUUGCAAUGGUAUCUCUAGAGAAAACACUAUCAAGAAAAGCUACAAUUAUUUCUUGAUUCUUGAUUUCUGUUGCAUCCACUUUCGUCAUUUUAUUCUAUUUUGCCUCCAGUGGUUUCUCAUUAAGCUUGUGGUACUCUAGGGUUUUCUUGGUAUUGAAGUUGAGGCAAUUCCAAGAAUCCUCUUCGUUGUUGAUUUUUUAGUUGACAGGUUUUAGUGUAUAGCGUUGUUCUUGGCAGGGAGGCAACCACCGACAGCUUUCCUCCUAAAUGGUUCUUUAGUUUCUCUCUUGUGGUAUAGGCACUAGGAUCUCACAAUAGAAAUCUACUGAUGGUAAAGAGAUUCAGUCAUUAUUUAUUUACAGUUUAUCUUAUUUCCUGUUUGCACACUGAUUUAUUGGAUUGUUUGUACAAAUGAGAUCAACUACCUUUUACUUUGCUCUUAGUCGUUGGUGCGGGAACCUAAUCCAAGAAAUUCUUCAAUUCUUUUCCUUUAUAUGGCUGAAGGAAUAUAUGAGAUAAUCUCCAUCCAUCUAUUGAGAUUUUAUUCUUAUAGGAAGUGUGGAGAGUUCGUUGUACAUGUCGGUUGUUCUAUAAACACAAAAACAUGUAUAAGCUGGAUAGAAAAUAUAGCAUUUACAGAAAAAACAAGGCUGUUGUGUUAGCUGGAUACAAACAAGCAGUUGGUUUUACAAACACAAAUAGUAGUAUGGGCAGAGUUUGAAAACAAGGCUGCAGUUAUAGCUGAACCGAUUUAAGAUCAAAUUAAGCACACUGAUGAUGUGCACCAGCACCCUCUAAGAAUGCAGCUUGACAUGUGAUGUAUUAAUUUAUGACUUCACGAUGUUUGUUUUAAUUUCCUGACAGAAGGGCGUGUGUGGCAUUUCAACUCAGUAUUUGUAAUUGCUAUAUCAAUGAGCAGAUACCUGAUAUAAAUCCUUUUUUAGGAAAUUAUAUCUUUAAAAGUAAAAAAAAUUGCACCAAAAGUUCUUUUUUUCUUAGCUUGAUUCGUCCUAUAUUUCUUGUGCAUCCUUUUACUUUGAAAAUAAGUUUAGCAGUUCGUUCAUGCUAUUUAUAUAUCUAACAGCUUUAUUCUACUCUAACGUUUCAGAGGUAACUCAUAUAGUCAUAUAAAGUGUGUCCCUAGCAGUAAACUGGAUUAUUGCAAAAGGUUCAGGCGUUCGGCUAUUCGAACUUGCUCAAUCUUGAACAACGUUCCGCUUUCAACUUCAGAUAAUUCAAGUAAUGAGUAGGGAAUUGCAGUUCUUUCCAUUUUUUUCAAUUCAGCCCGUUUGUGCGAGUGGUACAACUUGGACUCUAUCUUUCAAGGUUUUUGAGUCUCCAAGUCAAAACGAGUCGACGACCCUGCGGCUUGGCGAUUAGUCAAAGAAAGUUGUUGUACAGCUCCGCUCUCACGCUUGCUUUUCCUCCUUUCAAGUGGUCUCGAAUCACACGUUGGCGGAUCUAUUCCAUCCUGAUUAGGCAUGGCAUUUUUCCAAAUGGGGAAAGUGGUGGAUGUGGAACUGUGGUGUCCAUCAUGCUGGCUUAUGAAGGCUUACCCUUGAACCGGUGGUCCAUGAAGAAGACGCAGCCGUGACGCCAAAGGAGCUAUAGGUCAAGCCUGUCUGCUAUUAUCCCUUGGCUGCAGUCUGGUAUUGGCAUUUCAUCCCUCUCUCAUGCCAACCACUGAAGACUCACACAUGGACAAUGAUGAAACUAUGUGCUACUGUGCUAAUGUAAGUUAUGUACUGGUGUUUUUUCAUUACCAAAUUACAUUGAAUCUACCAGUAAUCAUUGUUAAUAAUAGUAAAUUGGUAUGGUGUUAAAAAAAUCACCUUCACCGGUAAAAGUGAACAUUUACCACAAUCAUACAGUAGGUGAACUGAAGGAAAUAGCUAUUAUAGGCUUAAGCCUGGCAGCCUGUUUGGAAUAUGUUCCCAGAAUUCUUAAGUUUUUCGGAUUUGUAAUGGUGUGUGAUGGUUUAUUUAGGAACCAAUAGUGCAAUGAUUUGCAGCUCAUGUUGUUGAAUCAAUCAUGCAUCCAUGCAUCUUACGACAAGAGGGUCUCCUAAGAAGUUGCUGGUGAUAUUUUUGGUGAAGUAAUUAAGUUAGUUUGGAACUUCAUUUGUUAUGUAACCCAUGGCUACUCUUAGAUUAAAAAUUUCAAUUUAUAGGCAAUCAAAAUACUCCUCGGGAAAAUCUCUGUUUCAAAUUUCAUAUUUUAUGUUCUCUUUUAAUUGUUUCCCUGACUGGGAUUAAAUUCUUCUAUGCGAUGGUUUUGAAGUGAUUUGGUCGCAGGUAGAAUGCCACAAGGAAAGUAUUGGCUCUUGUGAUGAUGCAUCAGUCAGGUUCACCUGAGGUGUGUCGCAGUACCAGUGCCAGCCUCACAAGUGUUGAUGUGCAGGCAUGUUGUGGUAUUAGUGAUAUCCAACGUUUGUUUUUAAGUUGGCACACCUCAAUUCCUAUGUGAGCUUACCUAUAACAUUAACGAGUGUGGGGAAUUCAGGUUUUUUCGAAGAAUUCUAAUUUCUUAAAUUGAGAGCUUUUAUUUCCUCCUUUUCUAACUACUGACACAAGUUUAAAUUCCAUGGUUGUUUAUGUACAGUGCUUCACCUUGCAAUUUCUGAUUUCAUGCACCCAGUAGGCAGCAAGGAAUAAAAGAAGGAAGGAGCUUCAAAUUAUCGUUUCUUAUUAUGGAAAGAGCUUUAUCCUGCUAAAGUAGUUCAAUUGUUCAUGUAUGUAGUUCUAAAUAAUGUGUAUGUAGAAUCUGUACCAUGCAUCACAGCUUAUUCUUUAGUUUGGUAGUUGAUUACACAAGGCUUCUGCAGGUCUGUUUAGUAUGCUAAUCUGUUGAGGAUACUCCGUCCAAUUGUUUGCUUCGGUAGUA